UGGCGGCGUGCUUAACACAUGCAAGUCGAACGGAAAGGCCCUGCUUUUGUGGGGUGCUCGAGUGGCGAACGGGUGAGUAACACGUGAGUAACCUGCCCUUGACUUUGGGAUAACUUCAGGAAACUGGGGCUAAUACCGGAUAGGAGCUCCUGCUGCAUGGUGGGGGUUGGAAAGUUUCGGCGGUUGGGGAUGGACUCGCGGCUUAUCAGCUUGUUGGUGGGGUAGUGGCUUACCAAGGCUUUGACGGGUAGCCGGCCUGAGAGGGUGACCGGCCACAUUGGGACUGAGAUACGGCCCAGACUCCUACGGGAGGCAGCAGUGGGGAAUAUUGCACAAUGGGCGGAAGCCUGAUGCAGCAACGCCGCGUGCGGGAUGACGGCCUUCGGGUUGUAAACCGCUUUCGCCUGUGACGAAGCGUGAGUGACGGUAAUGGGUAAAGAAGCACCGGCUAACUACGUGCCAGCAGCCGCGGUGAUACGUAGGGUGCGAGCGUUGUCCGGAUUUAUUGGGCGUAAAGGGCUCGUAGGUGGUUGAUCGCGUCGGAAGUGUAAUCUUGGGGCUUAACCCUGAGCGUGCUUUCGAUACGGGUUGACUUGAGGAAGGUAGGGGAGAAUGGAAUUCCUGGUGGAGCGGUGGAAUGCGCAGAUAUCAGGAGGAACACCAGUGGCGAAGGCGGUUCUCUGGGCCUUUCCUGACGCUGAGGAGCGAAAGCGUGGGGAGCGAACAGGCUUAGAUACCCUGGUAGUCCACGCUGUAAACGGUGGGUACUAGGUGUGGGGUCCAUUCCACGGGUUCCGUGCCGUAGCUAACGCUUUAAGUACCCCGCCUGGGGAGUACGGCCGCAAGGCUAAAACUCAAAGGAAUUGACGGGGCCCCGCACAAGCGGCGGAGCAUGCGGAUUAAUUCGAUGCAACGCGUAGAACCUUACCUGGGUUUGACAUGGAUCGGGAGUGCUCAGAGAUGGGUGUGCCUCUUUUGGGGUCGGUUCACAGGUGGUGCAUGGCUGUCGUCAGCUCGUGUCGUGAGAUGUUGGGUUAAGUCCCGCAACGAGCGCAACCCUUGUUCACUGUUGCCAGCACGUUAUGGUGGGGACUCAGUGGAGACCGCCGGGGUCAACUCGGAGGAAGGUGGGGAUGACGUCAAGUCAUCAUGCCCCUUAUGUCCAGGGCUUCACGCAUGCUACAAUGGCUGGUACAGAGAGUGGCGAGCCUGUGAGGGUGAGCGAAUCUCGGAAAGCCGGUCUCAGUUCGGAUUGGGGUCUGCAACUCGACCUCAUGAAGUCGGAGUCGCUAGUAAUCGCAGAUCAGCAACGCUGCGGUGAAUACGUUCCCGGGGCUUGUACACACCGCCCGUCAAGUCAUGAAAGUUGGUAACACCCGAAGCCGGUGGCCUAACCGUUGUGGGGGAGCCGUCGAAGGUGGGACUGGUGAUUAGG
rnacentral:rRNA from 1 species